CGGACGGUUGAGUAAUGUCUGGGAAACUGCCCGAUGGAGGGGGAUAACUACUGGAAACGGUAGCUAAUACCGCAUAACGUCGCAAGACCAAAGAGGGGGACCUUAGGGCCUCUUGCCAUCGGAUGUGCCCAGAUGGGAUUAGCUAGUAGGUGGGGUAAUGGCUCACCUAGGCGACGAUCCCUAGCUGGUCUGAGAGGAUGACCAGCCACACUGGAACUGAGACACGGUCCAG
rnacentral:rRNA from 1 species